rnacentral:rRNA from 1 species
UGGGGAAUCUUGCACAAUGGGCGAAAGCCUGAUGCAGCGACGCCGCGUGGGGGAUGAAGCUUCUCGGAGUGUAAACCCCUUUCGAUCCGGACGAAUGCCCGCAAGGGAGUGACGGUACGGAUAUAAGAAGCCCCGGCUAACUACGUGCCAGCAGCCGCGGUAAUACGUAGGGGGCCAGCGUUGUUCGGAAUUACUGGGUGUAAAGGGUUCGUAGGCGGUGCGGCAAGUUGGGAGUGAAAUCUCUGGGCUCAACCCAGAGUCGGCUUCCAAAACUGCUGUGCUUGAGUGUGAGAGAGGCUCGUGGAAUUGCAGGUGUAGCGGUGAAAUGCGUAGAUAUCUGCAGGAACACCCGUGGCGAAAGCGGCGAGCUGGAUCACUACUGACGCUGAAGAACGAAAGCUAGGGGAGCAAACAGGAUUAGAUACCCUGGUAGUCCUAGCCCUAAACGAUCAGGACUUGGGGUGUCACCCGUUCGGGUGACGUCCCGGAGCUAACGCGUUAAGUCCUGCACCUGGGGAGUACGGUCGCAAGACUG